rnacentral:snRNA from 1 species
GGAUGUGAAGGCGAUCUGGUUGCAACAUCUUUCACCGCAUUGAUCACCAGGGUUGAUAUGGCUGAUCUGGCUGGCUAGGCGGUUGUCCCCUUCCUCCCUCACCGCUCCAUGUGCGUCCCCCCAGAAGCUGUGCGGUUGGUAGAAGACGGCCUUCCACGAAUAGAGAUAGACCUGUCUUCGGUCGAGGGUAUACGAGUAGUUGGGCUCUCCUGCUAGAACCUUCAAACAAAGCUCUCAAUUUUUUUCCUCUUUUUAAAAAAUCUUUAUUUAUACACCUGCAACACUGCUUUACCACUCGCAAAGCUUUCCCCCUGUAGGUAGGGAGCUGGGGC